AUUGAACGCUGGCGGCAUGCCUUACACAUGCAAGUCGAACGGCAGCACGGGGGCAACCCUGGUGGCGAGUGGCGAACGGGUGGGUAAUGCAUCGGAACGUGCCCCGUAGCGGGGGAUAACCAGUCGAAAGACUGGCUAAUACCGCAUACGCUCCACGGAGGAAAGCAGGGGAUCGCAAGACCUUGCACUAUGGGAGCGGCCGAUGCCCGAUUAGCUAGUUGGUGAGGAAAGGCUCACCAAGGCGACGAUCGGUAGCUGGUUUGAGAGAACGACCAGCCACACUGGGACUGAGACACGGCCCAGACUCCUACGGGAGGCAGCAGUGGGGAAUUUUGGACAAUGGGCGCAAGCCUGAUCCAGCCAUGCCGCGUGCGGGAUGAAGG
rnacentral:rRNA from 1 species